UACGUAGGUGGCAAGCGUUGUCCGGAUUUACUGGGCGUAAAGCGCGCGUAGGCGGCCUGCUAAGUCUGGGGUGAAAUCUCCCGGCUCAACCGGGAGGGGUCUUCAGAUACUGGUGGGCUUGAGGGCAGCAGAGGAAGGUGGAAUUCCCGGUGUAGUGGUGAAAUGCGUAGAUAUCGGGAGGAACACCAGUGGCGAAGGCGGCCUUCUGGGCUGUACCUGACGCUGAGGCGCGAAAGCGUGGGGAGCGAACCGGAUCAGAUACCCGGGUAGUCCACGCCCUAAACGGUGGCGACUAGGUGUGGGAGGUAUCGACCCCUUCCGUGCCGCAGCUAACGCCUUAAGUCGCCCGCCUGGGGACUACGGCCGCAAGGUUAAA
rnacentral:rRNA from 1 species